rnacentral:rRNA from 1 species
UCAGGACGAACGCUGGCGGCGUGCCUAACACAUGCGAGUCGAACGGACGAGGGGAGCUUGCUCCCCAAGUUAGUGGCGACGGGUGAGUAACACGUGAGCAACCUGCCCUUCGGAGGGGACAACAGUUGGAAACGACUGCUAAUACCGCAUGAUACAGCGGGGAGGCAUCUCCCUGCUGUCAAAGAUUUAUCGCCGAAGGAUGGGCUCGCGUCUGAUUAGAUAGUUGGCGGGGUAACGGCCCACCAAGUCGACGAUCAGUAGCCGGACUGAGAGGUUGAACGGCCACAUUGGGACUGAGAUACGGCCCAGACUCCUACGGGAGGCAGCAGUGGGGAAUAUUGGGCAAUGGGGGCAAACCCCCUGACCCAGCAACGCCGCGUGAAGGAAGAAGGCUUUCGGGUUGUAAACUUCUUUGACGAGGGACGAUAGUGACGGUACCUCGAAAACAAGCCACGGCUAACUACGUGCCAGCAGCAGC